ACUUAAGUAGUUUAAAGUAAAAUAUUGAUUUGUGGUGUCAGUGAUAUAAAUUUUAUCUUAGGUU
rnacentral:tRNA from 1 species